rnacentral:rRNA from 1 species
GAUGAACGCUAGCUACAGGCUUAACACAUGCAAGUCGCGGGGCAGCAUUCACUUAGCUUGCUAAGUGAGAUGGCGACCGGCGCACGGGUGAGUAACGCGUAUCCAACCUGCCCACCACUUGGGGAUAACCUUGCGAAAGUAAGACUAAUACCCAAUGAUAUCCCACGAAGGCAUCCGAAUGAGAUUAAAGAUUUAUCGGUGAUGGAUGGGGGAUGCGUCUGAUUAGCUUGUUGGCGGGGUAACGGCCCACCAAGGCAACGAUCAGUAGGGGUUCUGAGAGGAAGGUCCCCCANAUUGGAACUGAGACACGGUCCAAAACUCCUAACGGGAGGCAGCAGUGAGGAAUAUUGGUUAAAUGGGCGAGAGCCUGACCAGCCAAGUAGACGUGC